UAAAAAUAUUUGGAGCAUGCAACACUAGCAUAAAAUAGAUAAAAUACCAUAUAAAUAAAAUAAAAUAAAAUAGAUAGAAUAAUUUAGCAUCAUUGGAGAAUCCAAAUUUAGCAUUCCUCACUUGAUGUUUAUUUAUUUAUUGGCUGCCGUUAAGGAUCAUAUUUUCACAUCACUGGAGAGCCAAAGCUGCCAUGAUGCCAUCUGCAUUUCUACAAGGAUAUAAAAUUAGAGCACUUACGAAAAUAUACGCAUUUGAGAUGGCAAUUGGGAGUAAAGCGGACAUGCUACCUGAGUAUUGAAAUUUUGCGAAUUGGAGUGUUUGUCAAUGGACAUUGUUUUGAUGUGGAUGGAUGUGCAGUUGAACUUGUAUUGAUUGCUCAUUGAACUCUUCUGCUUGAGGAGCAAUGGAGAGGGGAGAUCAAUGGCAGAUUGUGACUUGUGAGGACUAAGGAGAGAGAUUGAGAGUUACAGUUGAUUUUGUGGCUUGUCUUCACUCUUCAAUCAUCACCAUAUUGUCUACACUAAACCCUCCAUUACCAUGCAUCAAUGCCAAAUCAAGACCAACCUUUAUUUCCCACCUCUGGAAUUGCAUCCUCAAACAUUGUGUUCAAGCUUCUGCACCAUCAUAAACCAUAGCUGCUGCUUA